AGUGAACGCUGGCGGUAGGCCUAACACAUGCAAGUCGAACGGCAGCACAGUAAGAGCUUGCUCUUACGGGUGGCGAGUGGCGGACGGGUGAGGAAUACAUCGGAAUCUACUUUUUCGUGGGGGUUAACGUAGGGAAACUUACGCUAAUACCGCUUACGACCUACGGGUGAAAGCAGGGGAUCUUCGGACCUUGCGCGAUUGAAUGAGCCGAUGUCGGAUUAGCUAGUUGGCGGGGUAAAGGCCCACCAAGGCGACGAUCCGUAGCUGGUCUGAGAGGAUGAUCAGCCACACUGGAACUGAGACACGGUCCAGACUCCUACGGGAGGCAGCAGUGGGGAAUAUUGGACAAUGGGCGCAAGCCUGAUCCAGCCAUACCGCGUGGGUGAAGAAGGCCUUCGGGUUGUAAAGCCCUUUUGUUGGGAAAGAAAAGCAGCAGGUUAAUACCCCGCUGUUCUGACGGUACCCAAAGAAUAAGCACCGGCUAACUUCGUG
rnacentral:rRNA from 1 species